rnacentral:rRNA from 1 species
ACAGAGGGUGCAAACGUUGUUCGGAAUCACUGGGCGUAAAGGGCGCGUAGGCGGGAAGCCAAGUCGGUCGUGAAAUCUCCGGGCUUAACCCGGAGGAGUCGGCCGAAACUGGUUUUCUUGAGGGAGGCAGAGGAGUCUGGAAUUCCCGGUGUAGCGGUGAAAUGUGUAGAGAUCGGGAGGAACACCGGUGGCGAAGGCGGCCAACUGGACGAAGACUGACGCUGAGACACGAAAGCGUGGGGAGCAAACAGGA